AUACUACUCCCUCCGUCCGGAAAUACUUGUCGUAGAAAUGGAUACAAAUGGUUGUAUCUAGAACUAAAAUACAUCUAGAUACAUCCAUUCCUCGGACAAGUAUUUCCGGACGGAGGGAGUAGCUU
rnacentral:pre_miRNA from 1 species